AAUCUGCUCUGGUUUUUGCGGUUUCUGAUCCAUCACCUUCCUGGGCAUUUUGUGAGAAACCGUUUGCUUCACUUUGGUGUUUGGUGAGGUUAAGCCUUGUUUCAGUAUUUGUGAGAUGUUGGCUCUGAAUUUCUGAGGAACCAUGCACCAACAGGAAGUCUAACUGCUUCUGUAGACCAAUGCUUUCUCCGAUAUCUAUGCCGUUUUGGUACUGAACCACAGCCUUUCACCCUCCUUUGGACUAACUAUGUAGGGCAGCCAGCAACAAAUCUGUCAUUUCUGCUUCUCUGCCGGCCGGUACAGACAAAGCCAUAGACAUUCUCCAGGAGCCGCUGAGAUGAAAAGUUGCUUUUUGAACUGAAGACUAACCUGUGUCCCUUACAAUAUUUACAAAGUCAUGCAUUUUGUAUUAUGCAUCACCGUUUCCCUUAUUGUAAAACCAAGCCCAGCUGUACCUGGUUGUAUGUGUGUGUGUGUGUGUGUG
ensembl:lncRNA